rnacentral:rRNA from 1 species
GAUUGGAUCACUCGGCUCAUGGGUCGAUGAAGAACGCAGCGAAAUGCGACAAGUAAUGUGAAUUGCAGAAUUCAGUGAAUCAUCGAAUCUUUGAACGCACCUUGCACUCCUUGGUAUUCCGAGGAGCAUGCCUGUUUGAGUGUC